AAGGAUAUGAAACUGAAACAUGGAAUAUAUAAGUAAAAAAAAUGUGUGCAAGCUUCUAUGAUUGCUUCUUCUAGCACGGCAAACAAGUGCAAUACUUCAAAGUCAAGCAACCACCGUCGCUUCUUCUUAAGAGCUCACCCUCACCCUCAGUCUCCACCACCAAAGGGACCUCCCUCUACUGCCACAUCUUCAAACUUCAACUGCAAAAAUUACCAACAAAUUAAUCAAAUUUACUUAAUUAUGGCACCCAUCACCAGCCUCGUCUGCUUCGUUCUCACUCACUUUGGUUUUCUCUGGACACCCACAGUUUUUCAAAAUUUCAGGCAUGAAAUCCCCAUUGAGCUCGAGCGAGGUACAUUCAGCAGUUACAGCUACCUGCAUUUAAUUGUUGUUCAAACUUAAUCAACACCAUAUAUAUAGAUAUAUAUGUGCGAUUAUAUGUAUGUAUGUUGAAACAAUCAAAGUUCGACAUGAAGGGCCGUUGUUUGGUUUUGGAGCUGCAGAUGGUGUUCUGAUCAUGGAAUUCUGAUCAUGGAAAACAUUGUAUAACCUAUUGGAGCUGCAGAUGAAUGUAUUGUACAUGUGUUUUGUUAUGCAUCGUGUAUGAUCAGGAGAAAUUAGUCUGUUGUAUUGGAUACGAAGCAUUGACAUUCGCCUAUCUUGUUAGUAAGUUCUCUUAUCAUUUUAUCUUGUACAUAUUUUGUGGGUGUCGAUUAAUUUGGGAUUGAUUCUCCAGUGA